rnacentral:rRNA from 1 species
UACGAAGGGGGCUAGCGUUGUUCGGAAUCACUGGGCGUAAAGGGCGCGUAGGCGGCUUUAUAAGUCAGGGGUGAAAUCCUGGAGCUCAACUCCAGAACUGCCUUUGAUACUGAAGAUCUUGAGUUCGGGAGAGGUGAGUGGAACUGCGAGUGUAGAGGUGAAAUUCGUAGAUAUUCGCAAGAACACCAGUGGCGAAGGCGGCUCACUGGCCCGAUACUGACGCUGAGGCACGAAAGCGUGGGGAGCAAACAGG